UUUCGAAUCAUUCACAAUGGGCGAAAGCCUGAUGGUGCGACGCCGCGUGAGGGAUGAAGGUCUUCGGAUUGUAAACCUCUGUCACCGGGGAAGAAACGCUUCAAGUUAACAGUUUGAAGCCUGACUUAACCCGGAGAGGAAGCAGUGGCUAACUCUGUGCCAGCAGCCGCGGUAAUACAGAGACUGCAAGCGUUAUUCGGAUUCACUGGGCGUAAAGGGUGCGCAGGCGGCCGUGUGUGUGAGGCGUGAAAGCCCGGGGCUUAACCCCGGAAUUGCACCUCAAACUACAUGGCUAGAGCAUUGGAGAGGGUAGCAGAAUUCACGGUGUAGCAGUGAAAUGCGUAGAUAUCGUGAGGAAUACCAGAGGCGAAGGCGGCUACCUGGACAAUUGCUGACGCUCAGGCACGAAAGCGUGGGGAGCAAAAG
rnacentral:rRNA from 1 species